rnacentral:rRNA from 1 species
GCAUUUAGUUGGGCACUCUAAUGAGACUGCCGGUGAUAAACCGGAGGAAGGUGGGGACGACGUCAGAUCAUCAUGCCCCUUAUGACCUGGGCAACACACGUGCUACAAUGGGAAGUACAACGAGUCGCAAACUGGCGACGGCAAGCUAAUCUCUUAAAACUUCUCUCAGUUCGGACUGGAGUCUGCAACUCGACUCCACGAAGGCGGAAUCGCUAGUAAUCGCGAAUCAGCAUGUCGCGGUGAAUACGUUCCCGGGUCUUGUACACACCGCCCGUCAAAUCAUGGGAGUCGGAAGUACCCAAAGUCGCUUGGCUAACUUUUAGAGGCCGGUGCCUAAGGUAAAAUCGAUGACUGGGAUUAAGUCGUAACAAGGUAGCCGUAGGAGAACCUGCGGCUGGAUCACCUCCUUUCUAAGGA